GCUACAGGCUUAACACAUGCAAGUCGAGGGGUAGCACGGAAGAAGCUUGCUUCUUUGGGUGACGACCGGCGCACGGGUGAGUAACGCGUAUCCGACCUACCCAUUACUCGGGCACAGCCGCUCGAAAGAGUGAUUGAUUCCCGAUAUGUAUAAUAAGUAGAUUAUUGUAUGAAAGAUUUAUCGGUAAUGGAUGGGGAUGCGUAAGAUUAGGUAGUAGGCGGGGUAACGGCCCACCUAGCCGACGAUCUUUAGGGGUUCUGAGAGGAAGGUCCCCCACACUGGUACUGAGACACGGACCAGACUCCUACGGGAGGCAGCAGUGAGGAAUAUUGGUCAAUGGACGCAAGUCUGAACCAGCCAAGUAGCGUGAAGGAUGACUGCCCUAUGGGUUGUAAACUUCUUUUGCCGUAGAACAAAACAUGCCACGUGUGGCAUUUUGCGUGUAUACGUUGAAUAAGCAUCGGCUAACUCCGUGCCAGCAGCCGCGGUAAUACGGAGGAUGCGAGCGUUAUCCGGAUUUAUUGGGUUUAAAGGGAGCGUAGGUGGUUUGAUAAGCCAGCUGUGAAAUACUGCCGCUCAACGGCAGCCGUGCAGUUGGAACUGUCAGACUUGAGUGUACGGGAGGAAAGUGGAAUUCGUGGUGUAGCGGUGAAAUGUUUAGAUAUCACG
rnacentral:rRNA from 1 species